rnacentral:ncRNA from 2 species
CAAUAAGCGAUGAUGAGAAAAAGUAUGAUCAAAUGAUCUUUUAAAGAGAGCUUCGGGAGCUGAAAAGAAGCAAAGAUGUUGAUCUGAACAAUGGACUCGGAGCUUCGUUCUGAACGUAUCUGAUUGAUAGUAGUAGGUUACGACAAGUUUGGGUACUUGUUAUCAAAAACCAAGUGUAAGAGCAUUUUUGUUCUGCAUGAUCAGAGGCUAUUUACGAAGGUAAAUAGUAAAGUAAGGUGGUACCACGUGAUUUAACACCACGUCCUUAUC